rnacentral:rRNA from 1 species
UACAGAGGUCUCAAGCGUUGUUCGGAUUCAUUGGGCGUAAAGGGCGCGUAGGCGGUGCUCUAAGUCAGGCGUGAAAGCCCUGGGCUCAACCCGGGAAUUGCGCUUGAUACUGGAGCGCUUGAAUCCAGGAGAGGUUGGUGGAAUUCCCAGUGUAGAGGUGAAAUUCGUAGAGAUUGGGAAGAACACCGGUGGCGAAGGCGGCCAACUGGACUGGUAUUGACGCUGAGGCGCGAAAGCGUGGGGAGCAAACAGG